UAAAGGCUGAACUAUAUCUGAUUUUUUGCUGCAUGUUUCAGGGUCAGGAUUCUGUACUAGACGUGAUGAGAUAAAAUGAGGUCUGAAUUUUUUAGCCAUGCUUUCUUAGCUCAUGAAGGCAGGAGCAUAUGUGAUUUUUCUGUACCACCUUCCCGCGGCUCUGAGGAUUUUGUCUGCUCGCUGCCUCUCCGCUAUUUAUUUGUUGUGUCUACUGCAUUGUUUGUUCUGCCACCCUUUUCCUCAGUUGCUAGCGGGGGGCCUUGGCUUAUCGUAUUGUUUGUUGCCUUCCUCUCAUAGGUUCGUUGGUAUUGUAAACCAUUUUUGUUGUAGUAAUAACUACAAUGUCAAAUAAAUUUACAUUUCACCUUGCUUCCACUAUUAUUCAAGUUUUUCCCUGCUUAUUGGUCGUACUAGCAAGAUGGUUUUUGUUUUUUUACCGUGUCUAACAUAGUGUAUUUCUACGAUUUUUCUCUGUUAAAACAUAUCCACUUCCAUGCUCUUUUCUCUAUUUUAGUACACAAUAGUAUGGCUGCAUACUACCAAUUGCAGAAAUUAUUCAUUUGCCACUAAAAUAUAUAUUUUCCUAUUCACAAAUUAAAUAACAACAAAGAUGAAGUUGGUCCCCGGAUGCCUAAUAUGUUCUUUCAUAUCCUGGUCAGUUUACCAGGUAACAGAAUUAAUACUUCUUGUUGGUUCAAUAGUCAAUACCAGUGUUGUGAGAAAAUUCCUUACGGUUGUUGUAUUUUGGUAGCUUCUUCUUUUGCAAGUGGCAAAUUACUGUUAUGUAUAUGUGGAAUCCUAUUAAAUCUGUGCAUUGGUUUCAGUCAUACUUUUCUAAAUGGAGUAUAGUUCAAGACUGUUUUGUUCAUUAAAUCAUUCCUUCUACCUUCCAAGUGUGUCGUUGGCACACCUCAAAUUACUUCUACUUAUACAUGUAUUCAAUGUUUGGCGGCUCGAUCCGCUCCUGGAUCGGGAGAGGAGGAAGGGAGGUGGGGGGCCGGCCGUCUCUGUGCCUCCUCGACGCCGAGCUGCGGCUGUUCCGUGUGUGCGCGCUCUCUCUCUCUCAGAUAAGGAGAACUUUAACCUUGCGCCCACCUAUGGCAAUAUUGCCCUCUUUAUAUUCUCCCUCGCUCAUCAGCAGCAGCGAUGGUGGCGUCAUUGUCGGCCUUGCAGCAUGUGGCAUAAUCAUGUCCAUUGCCUACUCUGGGGCAGAUCUUUGAAAGUUCCAAGUUGGUUAAUGUUGAUUUUUGCUCAUGCACAACCCAUCAUAGGAAUUAGUAGGAUCCUCUUCGAUGGAUGUAAGGACUGCAACAGGUUUCUUUCAGCAGCCUGGGGUUGUUAAGAAGAGGGUCGGGAUUGCUCUGGGCAGAUGCUUAAAUUCCUGGAUGUAAACGCACACUUGUCUCCUACACAGGCCAAAAUACUACUCCCUCCAUUCCAAAAUAUAGCGCGUCCGCGUUUUUCGAGGUCCAACUUUGACCAUAAAAUUAACCAACGAGACCGACUGCGGCGAGAGAAAAAAUUGUAUAAUUGAAAACUUCUUUCGAAUACGAAUUCACUGAUAUAACUUUUGCUCCCGCCGCAAUCGGGCUUGGUAGUUAAAUUUGUGGUUAAAGUUGAAGCACGAGGAUAGAGGAAGCACUACAUUGUGGAAUGGAGGGAGUAUUGGAGAUAAGGAUACCCGCGCUGCUGCUGUUGCGUUUGGUUAGGGAGGGGCUUCUUCGUCUGCUUUGCCGUGCGGUGGCUGUGCGGCUGCUUGUUCCUUCUUGUCCGGUGUACAUGAGAAGCUCCAAUUUUGUCGGCAAUAGCCACUGGAGAAAGUAGUGAUUGGGUUUAUAUGGGAUAGUUAUGUAUGUCCAUUGUGUGAUGGGAAAUACAAUGCAGUGGUUAAUUGUCACAUGGCUUCUCAAUAGUGGCUUCUCAGUAAAAAAAAAGUUAUAUGAUGUAUGAUAGCCAUGAGUAUGAUGAUUUUUCGGAUGGGCGGUAAGCUUCCCAUGUUUGAUGUUUUUUUUUACUUUUUAAAAUUGAACGAUGCUGGUGAGAAUAGUACUGUGGUGUACACUUCUAUUUGGUCA